rnacentral:rRNA from 1 species
GACGAACGCUGGCGGCGUGCUUAACACAUGCAAGUCGAACGGUGAAGCCCUUCGGGGUGGAUCAGUGGCGAACGGGUGAGUAACACGUGAGCAACCUGCCCCUGGCUCUGGGACAACCACUGGAAACGGUGGCUAAUACCGGAUACGACCCGCCUCGGCAUCGAGUGUGGGUGGAAAGUUUUUCGGCUGGGGAUGGGCUCGCGGCCUAUCAGCUUGUUGGUGAGGUGAAGGCUCACCAAGGCGACGACGGGUAGCCGGCCUGAGGGGGCGACCGGCCACACUGGGACUGAGACACGGCCCAGACUCCUACGGGAGGCAGCAGUGGGGAAUAUUGCACAAUGGGCGAAAGCCUGAUGCAGCGACGCCGCGUGAGGGAUGACGGCCUUCGGGUUGUAAACCUCUUUCAGCUCCGAAGAAGCGAAAGUGACGGUAGGAGCAGAAGAAGCACCGGCUAACUACGUG